CAGCAAAUGGAAGCCUUAACAAGGAGAAGUUGCUUUCAUAUGCAAUGAAGCUUUUGAUGUGGCCCCUGAAAAAGGCUUUCAUUUAAGAAGGGUUGUUUUCGAAGCUCACCUUUAUUCGGCAUAAACCCAGAUAUCCGACUCGCUUUGCAAGCCGACUAAUCUUAGGGCGAACACCCUUGUGGUUAUGUACAACUAUUUCCUUGAAGCUCACUUAAACCAUUUGUUGGAGUUCUGCAUGCAGCAAGAUUCCAGCUUGCUGAAAGCUUCAAUGAUUAUAUAUAUAAUGGGAGUGCUUUACGGGAAGUUGUUUGGAUUAGGAUAAGAGGAUAAGGAUUCACAGUUUCACACCAUCGCUAUAAUGCUACGAGAAACAUAUUCUGUAGUUAGUUUCUAAUGUAUCUUGCGGAAUCUACAAAGUCAUCUUCACACUUUAUUUCAAUGGUUUAUAAUGUUUUGGUUUUUUGAAUCAGAAGAAUUUAGUCCUUUAUUUGUAUAGUGUCUACGUAAUUGUUUUCCUUCUAAAUGUUUUAAUGCACAUAU